GCCUGGCUGGCUCAGUAAGUAGGGCAUGUGACUCUUGAUCUCAGGGUUAUGAGUUAGAGCCGCAUGUUGGGUG
rfam:Felis catus isolate Cinnamon breed Abyssinian chromosome B1, whole genome shotgun sequence.